UAGCAUAUCAAUAAGCGGAGGAAAAGAAACCAACAGGGAUUGCCCUAGUAACGGCGAGUGAAGCGGCAACAGCUCAAAUUUGAAAUCUGGCUCUUUUAGAGUCCGAGUUGUAAUUUGCAGAGGGCGCUUUGGCGUUGGCAGCGGUCCAAGUUCUUUGGAACAGGACGUCACAGAGGGUGAGAAUCCCGUACGUGGUCGCUAGCCUUCGCCGUGUAAAGCCCCUUCGACGAGUCGAGUUGUUUGGGAAUGCAGCUCUAAAUGGGAGGUAAAUUUCUUCUAAAGCUAAAUACUGGCCAGAGACCGAUAGCGCACAAGUAGAGUGAUCGAAAGAUGAAAAGCACUUUGGAAAGAGAGUCAAAUAGCACGUGAAAUUGUUGAAAGGGAAGCGCUUGCAGCCAGACUUGCCUGUAGUUGCUUAUCCGGACUUUUGUCCGGUGCACUCUUCUGCGGGCAGGCCAGCAUCAGUUUAGGCGGUUGGAUAAAGGUCUCUAUCACGUACCUCCCUUCGGGGUUGGCCUUAUAGGGGAGACGACAUGCAACCAGCCUGAACUGAGGUCCGCGCAUCUGCUAGGAUGCUGGCGUAAUGGCUGUAAGCGGCCCGUCUUGAAACACGGACCAAGGAGUCUAACAUCUAUGCGAGUGUUUGGGUGUCAAGCCCAGACGCGUAAUGAAAGUGAACGGAGGUGGGAACCUUUUAGGUGCACCAUCGACCGAUCCUGAUGUCUUCGGAUGGAUUUGAGUAAGAGCAUGGCUGUUGGGACCCGAAAGAUGGUGAACUAUGCUUGAAUAGGGUGAAGCCAGAGGAAACUCUGGUGGAGGCUCGCAGCGGUUCUGACGUGCAAAUCGAUCGUCAAAUUUGGGCAUAGGGGCGAAAGACUAAUCGAACUAUCUUGUACCUGGUCC
rnacentral:rRNA from 1 species